rnacentral:lncRNA from 1 species
GAGAACAUUGGCAAGAGUGGGGACAUGGAAGCUGUGUUCAGGCCGGUCCACGCUGGGUGACCCAUGUGACCUGCUGCUUAGCAAUUCCUUGUCACCAUCUUCCCUUCUCAGCCUCUUUUUUCAUGCUAACAGGCAUAAAUGAAAUGAUAAAAGUUUGAGCUCUUCUCGUGGAAUUCUCGUGAUACAGAUAUGUGCUACAUGUUCAUCAUCUCGUUGGUCUUCACCAUGAUAACUGUGGAGUAAGAAUUAUAAGCAGGUCACAGAUUAGGGACUUGAGAUUGACAGUUUGGCUUCCCUGUUCUGGGUGGCAAAGCCUGUGGAGUACUCACCUACCUGCUGCAUGAAGGCAGCAUGGAGGGACUGUGGUGGAUUAUCUGCAAAGAUGGCCAAAAUUCUCUCAUCCCUGCAGGCACAUACAAGAAUGAGGAAGAAAGAUGAAGAAUGAGGAGGAAGAAGGAAGGAACGAGAGAGAGGUAAAGCCAACAAGCAGAACAGACCUACAUUUGCAGCAUCUCCAAGUUUCUGCAACAGCAUUAUGUUGUUGUUAUGUUUUGUUUUAAUAAAAGCACAUACCAUUUUU